CUGUCUCUAGGCUUCCCAUGGUGCCUUCUUCCAGUGCCACUGGUUGGGUCCUGCACAGUCUUUGAAAGCUGCUGACUCGUUAUGCAUGUUCAAGGAAGAACUGCACUUCUAAAGUUGCGGCAUGCUGCUCCAGUGGAGGCCCCUGCGUUUCUGCAGUAUAAGCCAGUGUAACAAAUCACUACACGCCUGCUGGAAGUCAGUUUCACUGAGCCAAAAUCAAGCCUGUCAGCAGAGCCGUACUUCUCCCUGCUUCUGGUGGCUGUGGGCAUCCAAAGGACUGGGCCUACAUCUUCCUCACCUCUGCCUCUACGGCCACACUGCCUCCUCCCUUCAGUGUAUCUCAACCCCCUCUGCCUCUCCCUUAGAGGGACGCUAAUGAUUGUAUUUAAGGCCUGCCCAGGUCACCCAGGAAAAUUUCCCCAUGUCAUGAUCCUUACUUGAAUCACCUCUGCAGCAUUUUUGGCAUGUAAGGUGUUAUGGAUUGAAUUGGGUCCACCUAAAAUUCAUAUGCUGGAGUCCUAACACCCAAUAACUCAGAAUGUGACCUUUGGAGACAUGGUCAUUUGAGAGGAAUGAGGGUGAGUCCCAAUCCAAUUUGAUUGCUAAAAGAUGAUCCAUACGAUUCAAGAAGAGAGGGCAGGAAUAGAUCCCUUAGCCUCUAGAAUAAACUAACCCUGAUGAUACCUUGAACUCAGACUUCCUCUCUCCAAAACCAUGGAGAAAAAAAUUGUUAUUGUUUAUGCCACCUGGUUUGUCGUACUGUGUUACAGCAGCCCUAGAAAACUAGAUCCUAAAGAACCAUUUAUGGGUUCCAGAGACUCAAACCUAAAUCAUGGGGCCAUUAUUCAAUCUCCUACACUGCUUUAAAACAUAGAAUGUUUCCUGUCACCAGGCUCACCCUUACCUGUCCACCCUCCACAUGACUCUCAGUUAUAUUUCUGAGACACAAAUGAGUGUCUCCUCCUACUUGCUUAAAACCCUUUACCCUCUGAAUAAAGUGUCACAACCUUUCUGA